UUCUCUGUCUCUAACGUUUGCUCUCCCUUCUCUCUAGAACCUUCUGGUUCUCUCUUUAUUCUCCGAUGGGAUUCAUCGCCUCUCCGACAACUCCAUCCUCGCUCCUCUCGACCUUUAGUCGCCAUGAGACCUUAUCUCGUUGUUUCUCUCCAAGGUUUGAAACCCCAGAAGCUUCCAUCAUGAAAGGAGGUCCCUGGAAACCUCGUUUGGCUAUCUCCGGCCUUUCUUUAGUGCGUUUUGGUCCAAUGAUGCUUUAAAUGUCGUUAUUAGCAAGUUUCACUGCCAGGUUUCUC
rnacentral:lncRNA from 1 species